AUUCUAGCAGUGUUCUACUGGUAAUUCCUCCCUUGUCCGUCCCUCUCAUAAGCCGGCACACCGGCAUUGUAGUUAUCGCCGCCUUGCUGGUAGCUAGGGUUGCCUCCUUGGCCAUGGUAGCCUGGUGCAUAGCCAGGGUUGCCACCUUGGUAAGGAGGCGGGUUGCCGCCCUGGUAACCUGGCCCUCCUCCCUGGUAUCCAGGGUUGUUGCCUUGGUAAGCAGAUGGUGGGGGUGGGGGUGGACCUUGGUAGCCCUGGUUGCUACCUUGAUAGCCAGGGGGUCCACCUUGGUAGCCAGGCGCACCGCCCUGCUGAUAGUUUGUAUAGCCUUGCGGAUUUGGUGCAUGGGGCUGGUAGUUUGGAGGACCUGCAUUUGGUGGUGGAGGUGGAGGAACAUUACCCUGAGCAUGGUGCAUCGGAGGAGCAUCACGAGGCGGGACUGGGCCCUGACCUGGUGGGGGAGGGCUGUUGAAUCCCUGGCCAGGAGGCACAUCUCUGUUCU
rnacentral:lncRNA from 1 species